AUCUGAGUAACAUUUGCACCUACUAGCUCAGCCAGAACUGUGUUAAAGUGAUAGUCAGGGAUCAUAUUUUAGCAUCCCCUUCUGGGCUCCU
rnacentral:pre_miRNA from 1 species